rnacentral:rRNA from 1 species
GUGUCAGCCGCCGCGGUAAUACAGAGGUCUCAAGCGUUGUUCGGAUUCAUUGGGCGUAAAGGGUGCGUAGGCGGCGCGGUAAGUCGGGUGUGAAAUCUUGGAGCUUAACUCCGAAACUGCCUUUGAUACUGCGGUGCUCGAGUACUGGAGAGGAGAUUGGAAUUUACGGUGUAGCGGUGAAAUGCGUAGAUAUCGUAAGGAAGACCAGUGGCGAAGGCGGGUCUCUGGACAGUUCCUGACGCUGAGGCACGAAGGCCAGGGGAGCAAACGGGAUUAGAUACCCUCGUAGUCC